UACCAGCACUCCGAGUGGUCGUCACGUUCACUGGGCCUAAAGCCUCCGUAGCCGGUUCUUCAAGUCUUCCGUUAAAUCCAACUGCUUAACAGGUGGGCUGCGGAAGAUACUAUAGAGCUAGGAGGCGGGAGAGGCAAGCGGUACUCGCUGGGUAGGGGUAAAAUCCGUUGAUCCAUUGAAGACCACCAGUGGCGAAGGCGGCUUGCCAGAACGCGCUCGACGGUGAGGGAUGAAAGCUGGGGGAGCAAACCGG
rnacentral:rRNA from 1 species